rnacentral:rRNA from 1 species
GCACAAGCGGUGGAUCAUGUUGUUUAAUUCGAUGAUACGCGAAGAACCUUACCAGGUCUUGACAUCCCCCGCGAUGCUUUAGAGAUAAAGCGGAGGUAUUCGGGGAGACAGGUGGUGCAUGGUUGUCGUCAGCUCGUGUCGUGAGAUGUUGGGUUAAGUCCCGCAACGAGCGCAACCCCUAUUGCUAGUUACCAUCAUUAAGUUGGGGACUCUAGCGAGACUGCCAGUGAUAAACUGGAGGAAGGUGGGGAUGACGUCAAAUCAUCAUGCCCCUUAUGACCUGGGCUACAAACGUGAUACAAUGGCUGGAACAAAGGGAUGCGAAGCAGUGAUGUGGAGCGAAACCCAUAAAAACAGUCUCAGUUCGGAUUGAAGUCUGCAACUCGACUUCAUGAAGUCGGAAUCGCUAGUAAUCGCGGAUCAGAACGCCGCGGUGAAUACGUUCCGCGGUUU